rnacentral:rRNA from 1 species
GACGAACCGAGCGAACGUUGUUCGGAAUCACUGGGCUUAAAGGGCGCGUAGGCGGGCUGUUAAGUCUGGGGUGAAAUCCCACGGCUCAACCGUGGAACUGCCUUAGAUACUGACGGCCUCGAGGGAGAUAGGGGCGAGCGGAACUGUGAGUGGAGCGGUGAAAUGCGUUGAUAUUCACAGGAACUCCGGUGGCGAAGGCGGCUCGCUGGAUCUUUUCUGACGCUGAGGCGCGAAAGCUAGGGGAGCAAACGGG